UACGAAGGGGGCUAGCGUUACUCGGAAUUAUUGGGCGUAAAGCGUGCGUAGGCGGUUAGAUAAGUUAAAAGUGAAAUCCCUGGGCUCAACCCAGGAACUAUUUUCAAAACUAUCUGACUAGAGUUUUGGAGAGGAUAGCAGAAUUCCUAGUGUAGAGGUGAAAUUCGUAGAUAUUAGGAGGAAUACCGGAGGCGAAAGCGGCUAUCUGGACAAAUACUGACGCUGUUGCACGAAAGCGUGGGGAGCAAACAGG
rnacentral:rRNA from 1 species